rnacentral:rRNA from 1 species
GACGAACGCUGGCGGCGUGCUUAACACAUGCAAGUCGAACGCUGAAGGCCUGGCUUUUGUUGGGUUGGAUGAGUGGCGAACGGGUGAGUAACACGUGAGUAACCUGCCCUCUUCUUUGGGAUAACGCCCGGAAACGGGUGCUAAUACUGGAUAUUCACUGAUCUUCGCAUGGGGGUUGGUGGAAAGGUUUGUUCUGGUGGGGGAUGGGCUCGCGGCCUAUCAGCUUGUUGGUGGGGUGAUGGCCUACCAAGGCUUUGACGGGUAGCCGGCCUGAGAGGGUGACAGGUCACAUUGGGACUGAGAUACGGCCCAGACUCCUGCGGGAGGCAGCAGUGGGGAAUAGUGCACAAUGGGCGAAAGCCUGAUGCAGCGACGCCGCGAGAGGGAUGGAGGCCUUCGGGUUGUAAACCUCUUUCGCUCAUGGUCAAGCCGCAACUGUGGGUUGUGGUGAGGGUAGUGGGUAAAGAAGCGCCGGCUAACUACGUG